rnacentral:rRNA from 1 species
UACGGAGGGGGCAAGCGUUAUCCGGAUUCACUGGGUUUAAAGGGUGCGUAGGUGGGCAGGUAAGUCAGUGGUGAAAUCUCUGGGCUUAACUCAGAAACUGCCAUUGAUACUAUCUGUCUUGAAUACCGUGGAGGUUAGCGGAAUAUGUCAUGUAGCGGUGAAAUGCUUAGAUAUGACAUAGAACACCAAUUGCGAAGGCAGCUGGCUACACGAAUAUUGACACUGAUGCACGAAAGCGUGGGGAUCAAACAGG